rnacentral:rRNA from 1 species
UACAGAGGGUGCGAGCGUUAAUCGGAAUUACUGGGCGUAAAGCGUGCGUAGACGGUUAUUUAAGUCGGAUGUGAAAGCCCCGGGCUCAACCUGGGAAUUGCAUUCGAGACUGAAUAGCUAGGGUACGGUAGAGGGAAGUGGAAUUUCCGGUGUAGCGGUGAAAUGCGUAGAUAUCGGAAGGAACAUCAGUGGCGAAGGCGGCAUCCUGGACCGGCAUUGACGCUGAGGCGCGAAAGCCAGGGGAGCAAACGGG